UUGCGUUCCUUCUGUGGCGGCUGACGUGGAAGUGACGCAUACACUGGGCGGAGCUAGCGGGCCGAGUUUGUGCCUAGCCCGGUUUAGGCAGGCUUGGCGCGUUUGUGCCUAGCCCGGCCGUACCCGCUGAGACACGGUGUAAGCUGCUCCCUCUGCCUUGGGUGUCCUGCGAGUGGGCAGCACCUGGAGCAAAGCGUUCCUGGCAUAAGCGGGUGGGGAGAGAAGAACGUUCACAUACCAACUACCCAUGCGGGCUCCACGCUGCAAAUGCUCUCCUGCCCAGAGUACACAGAGGAGGUGGUGGAUCUCCUGGGUCUGUGGCGAUAAGAGGCUGUGCAGGCAUAGCUCCGAUCCAGCCAUAGAAAUGUCGACACUGAUGAGCAGAUCACUCAGGGGAUGGGAGAGAAGGGCUACAAGAGGGACAUGCAGCAGAGCCACGUGAAAAUCAAGGAGCUGCUGUAGGGUACCAGAAGGCAAGGAAGGCAAACAGUCAUGCUGGUGCAGAGCCACAGACAUGCCGCUUCUCUAAGGAGCUCUAUGUCAUCCUCAGCAGCGACACGCCCAUCACCGCAAGGGCCCUGUGGAUACUUCAGGGGAGCUGGAUGCACAGGCCACCAAAGUGAACCCUGAGGAUGAGGUGUGGAAGAGGAGGCGGCGAGCUUGAUGUAGGGGUAGGAACCUCUGCUGCAAAUGCGGUCUUGAGGGUCUCUCCAUCCACACCGGUGGAGUGGCUUAGCCAGGUGAGAAGGAGGCUGAAGAGGACAAGGAAAGAUAUGUCCCAGGAGAUCCUGCAAGACUCUGGUGCUUUGGAUACCAAGCAGAGGGCUUGGAGGAUUACACUUGAGGACAGAAUGGACAGGGAUAGUGAGGACGGGAAAACGGACAGCAAGAAAUGAUAGUACUUCUCAGGGAGCAGACAGACAUGCUGUGGUCUCUGACUGACCUUCAAGCUCAAUAGGUCCAUGCUCGCCUCCCCCUGCAGCCAAUAGAGAACUGCAUUUUGGCACUUCUCUACACGCCCUCCUUCCCAAUCCACAUGGCAUCUGGGGCCUGUGCAAUACCCCUACCACUCCACCUGGAGGAGAGUGUUUGUGAAAUGGAAGUGACUGUUCUUUCCCCUUCAAAGGUUCUUGUCCCUGUAUUUAUAAAGUUUUGUUCUGCUUUAAAUAUGUCUAUUUACAUGGGUUCAGAAUAAAAGUCUAUUUAUGGAAACUUAA